AGGGUUCGAUUCUGGCUCGGGAUGAACGCUAGCGAUAGGGCCUAACACAUGCAAGUCGAGGGGCAGCACAUGAGUAGCAAUACGAUGGUGGCGACCGGCGCACGGGUGAGUAACACGUAUGCAACCUACCUUUAACAGGGGAAUAACCCGUUGAAAAACGGACUAAUACCCCAUAACACAGGGGUCCCGCAUGGGAAUAUUUGUUAAAGAUUAAUCGGUUGAAGAUGGGCAUGCGUUCCAUUAGCUUGUUGGUGAGGUAACGGCUCACCAAGGCCACGAUGGAUAGGGGAACUGAGAGGUUUAUCCCCCACACUGGAACUGAGACACGGUCCAGACUCCUACGGGAGGCAGCAGUGAGGAAUAUUGGUCAAUGGAGGCAACUCUGAACCAGCCAAGUCGCGUGAAAGGAUGAAGGUCUUAUGGAUUGUAAACUUCUUUUGCAAGGGAAUAAAGUGGGGACGUGUCCUCCUUGCCAUCCGUACUUGCGACUUAGGAUCGGCUACUCGGUGCCAGCAGCCGC
rnacentral:rRNA from 1 species